rnacentral:rRNA from 1 species
CACGUAGGGCGCAAGCGUUGUCCGGAAUUAUUGGGCGUAAAGAGCUCGUAGGCGGUCUGUUGCGUCCGCUGUGAAAACUCGGGGCUUAACCCCGAGCCUGCAGUGGAUACGGGCAGACUAGAGGUAGGUAGGGGAGAAUGGAAUUCCCGGUGUAGCGGUGAAAUGCGUAGAGAUCCGGAGGAACACCAAAGGCGAAGGCAGUGUCCUGGGGAGUACCUGACGCUCAGGUGCGAAAGCCAGGGGAGCGAACGGG